AGCCUGUUAAGAUCUUCAGCAGAUGUUUGAGAAAAAAAAUCAUCAUCCUCUUCGUCACUCUUCAUCCGUAUUUGGGGUAACAAGCACCUGCUUCCCACAAGAGACUGGACCGCUGAAGUCAGACCUGCACCUUCCUUGAACAUGUUGGUAUCUUACUCUGUAUUUGUUCACGGUGGUCACCCCAGGGUCUCAGGACUCAAAUUGAGUGCUCUAUGGAUUAAACAUAAAAUGCAGUAUAAACAAGUGUUAUGUUGUCUUGAACAUGUUGGUAACUUACUCUGUAUUUGUUCACGGUGGUCACCCCAGGGUCUCAGGACUCAAAACGAGUGCUCUAUGGAUUGAACAUAAAAUGUAGUAUAAACAAGUGUUAUGUUUUUAAAUGCCACUAAUAAUGUGUUUCUGU